GGUUAGUUUUAGUGAUCAGUUGGAAGUCAGAUGUGUAUUUAUCAAACUUGUGAAUAAUUAUACACCUGAUUUCCAAUUGAUCACUAAAGACC